AUUGAACGCUGGCGGCAUGCUUUACACAUGCAAGUCGAACGGCAGCGCGGGCUUCGGCCUGGCGGCGAGUGGCGAACGGGUGAGUAAUGCAUCGGAACGUGCCCAGUAGUGGGGGAUAGCCCGGCGAAAGCCGGAUUAAUACCGCAUACGACCUGAGGGUGAAAGCGGGGGACCGAAAGGCCUCGCGCUUUUGGAGCGGCCGAUGUCGGAUUAGCUAGUUGGUGGGGUAAAGGCUUACCAAGGCGACGAUCCGUAGCUGGUCUGAGAGGACGACCAGCCACACUGGGACAGAGACACGGCGCAGACUCCUACGGGAGGCAGCAGUGGGGAAUUUUGGACAAUGGGGGCAACCCUGAUCCAGCCAUGCCGCGUGCGGGAAGAAGGCCUUCGGGUUGUAAACCGCUUUUGUUCGGGAAGAAAUCCUCUGGGCUAAUACCCCGGGGGGAUGACGGUACCGGAAGAAUAAGCACCGGCUAACUACGUG
rnacentral:rRNA from 1 species